GCAUACUAGCAUAGUUCUAAGGACUUCAUCAUAACACAAGAGUUCAAGGAAGAUGUUACUUUGUGAUGAAAAAUGUUAGAAUAAUUUUUAUUCAAUGAUCAAUAAUUCAUAUACAAGGAUGAACUCAAUCAUCAUACGAUUGAUUUUAGGACAUAAUUUCCAACACCCACUACAUUCACUGUCUCUUUAUGGAGUUGGUGAUUUUUCUCAAAAAUCUGUAGCAAUCCCAAU
rnacentral:lncRNA from 1 species